rnacentral:misc_RNA from 1 species
GAUGAAGAACGUAGCGAAAUGCGAUAAGUAAUGUGAAUUGCAGAAUUCAGUGAAUCAUCGAAUCUUUGAACGCACAUUGCGCCCCUUGGUAUCCCGAGGGGCAUGCCUGUUCGAGCGUCAUUUCACCACUCAAGCCUGGCUUGGUGUUGGGCGACGUCCUAUUUGGGGACGCGCCUCGAAACGCUCGGCGGCGUGGCACCGGCUUUAAGCGUAGCAGAAUCUUUCGCUUUGGAAGUCGGGGCCCCGUCUGCCGGAAGACCUGCUCGCAAGGUUGACCUCGGAUCAGGCAGGGAUACCCGCUGAACUUAAGCAUAUCAAUAAGCGGAGGA